rnacentral:rRNA from 1 species
UACAGAGGUCCCAAGCGUUGUUCGGAUUCACUGGGCGUAAAGGGUGCGCAGGUGGCAUGGUAAGUUUGAUGUGAAAUCCCCGGGCUCAACCUGGGAACUGCAUUUGUGACUGCAUCGCUGGAGUGCGGCAGAGGGGGAUGGAAUUCCGCGUGUAGCAGUGAAAUGCGUAGAGAUGUGGAGGAACACCGAUGGCGAAGGCAGCCCCCUGGGUCAAAACUGACGCUCAUGCACGAAAGCGUGGGGAGCAAACAGG